AAUAAUGAAUGGUGCAAAGCAAUGAGGAAGCGCUGAGAGCCAGGAAUGGGAAGCUGGUGACAGAUGAGGCUGAUAAGGCAGACAGCCUAAAGGAAUUCUUCGCCCCAGUAAUCACAGAGGCAGCAGAAGGUAACGUCCCAGGAACUGGGAUUUGUUUUCCUCAGGGAAGGAAGUAAAAUGUCAAAAGGUUUUACUCUUGCACUGGAGUGGAUAAUAAGGCAAUUAGUACCCUUAAAAGUCGUCAGAGCACCCAGACUGCAGUGAUAAAUCACAUCCUGCGAUGGGAGCGGGAGACUGUCGGAAAGCUUUUAUGGAGCGGUUGUGGUCACCUACCGUGGGUGGGAUUACUGAGGGCACGUGAGUGCUCUGUGGAGUUUGCACUGAAAACCAAGGAGGAGCACUGGAGUACGACAUCUAUAGGUUUGUGAGCUCAGCUUCUCUUCUGCAGCAGAAACCAAACACUGAGCAUCCUAAUGGGAGGGAGAAUAGUGCUUGGGAGGCAUUCCACCUUCACUGUUGUGAGAUGUGAGAAUCCCCGAGAGAAGCACCUCUUCAUGGGCACCUUGAAGGCAGCUUCCUUCACCCUUUCAAAAAAGUCAAACUACAUAAAUCAGGCAGUACGAUUUUGCCCAACCAAACAGCCAUAAUUUGACUACCAAGACUACUUUGUUCCCUGUGUCUUUAAUAGGCAGCUCUUCUUCUUCAUGCAGACAGCUUAAAAUGUGGUACCAAGACCAAGCUGGAUCACUAAGUUUAGUCUGAUGAUUUGAUCUUGUCAUCUUCAUUAUGAAUUAACUCGAGAAUCUGAAACAGAAACAACAUAGCUACAUGAAAUACCAAUACAAUUGCGUGCAAAUACAAAGAUUAACUCAUUCUAACUUGACUUUUCACUGCGUGAUCCUGCACUCCUCGUCGACAUAAAAACUGUUCAGCUGCAAAGGGCCCUUGAGCAUAACGUGACAUUUACAGCAUCUACGAGUAUUUCUUGUUUAUUUCUCAUAAAUUUCCUUUGGUAAUAACUUAGUCACUCGGCAACACUACAGGAUACACAUAUAUUAUAUGAUUAUCUCAUAUUUUAUACAACACAUGUGAAAGUAAUUAAUUUUCCCAGGCAAAUGUCAGACCAUUUAGUUCAUCGUUACAAGCCAAAUAUUUGUGCAACGAUUUGUUACAAAUAUAUGCAUAACCACAGAACACUUUGGCUCCAUAGUAUUUAAUAACUGUAAUUUAAAGGGACACUGUCAGAGCUGUUAAAGUCUCAACUUCUACAUUAGCCUUUGUUCCACAUGCAAUUCCCUUUAGGAUCCAACCUCAAC
ensembl:lncRNA